CGUAAGCGUGCGCAGGCGGUUUGUAAGUCUGAUGUGAAUCCCCGGGCUCAACCUGGGAAUUGCAUUGGAGACUGCAAGGCUAGAAUCUGGCAGAGGGGGGUAGAAUUCCACGUGUAGCAGUGAAAUGCGUAGAUAUGUGGAGGAACACCGAUGGCGAAGGCAGCCCCCUGGGUCAAGAUUGACGCUCAUGCACGAAAGCGUGGGGAGCAAACAGGAUUAGAUACCCGUGU
rnacentral:rRNA from 1 species